rnacentral:rRNA from 1 species
GAUGAACGCUGGCGGCAUGCUUUACACAUGCAAGUCGAACGGUAACAGGGUGCUUGCACCGCUGACGAGUGGCGAACGGGUGAGUAAUGCGUCGGAACGUGCCGAGUAGUGGGGGAUAACGCAGCGAAAGUUGUGCUAAUACCGCAUACGUACUGAGGUAGAAAGUGGGGGACCUUCGGGCCUCACGCUAUUCGAGCGGCCGACGUCUGAUUAGCUAGUAGGUGAGGUAAAGGCUCACCUAGGCGACGAUCAGUAGCGGGUCUGAGAGGAUGAUCCGCCACACUGGGACUGAGACACGGCCCAGACUCCUACGGGAGGCAGCAGUGGGGAAUUUUGGACAAUGGGCGAAAGCCUGAUCCAGCCAUGCCGCGUGUCUGAAGAAGGCCUUCGGGUUGUAAAGGACUUUUGUCGGGGAGGAAAUCCCCAGCGCUAAUACCGCUGGGGGAUGACAGUACCUGAAGAAUAAGCACCGGCUAACUACGUGCCAGCCGCCGCGGUAA